rnacentral:rRNA from 1 species
AACGAACGCUGGCGGCAUGCCUAACACAUGCAAGUCGAACGAAGGCUUCGGCCUUAGUGGCGCACGGGUGAGUAACGCGUGGGAAACUGCCUAUUGGUGGGGAAUAACGACGGGAAACUGUCGCUAAUACCGCAUAAGCCCUUCGGGGGAAAGAUUUACCGCCGAUAUAUGUGCCCGGGGCCGAUUAGCUAGUUGGUGAGGUAAUGGCUCACCAAGGCGACGAUCGGUAGCUGGUCUGGGAGGAUGAUCAGCCACACUGGGACUGAGACACGGCCCAGACUCCUACGGGAGGCAGCAGUGGGGAAUAUUGGACAAUGGGCGAAAGCCUGAUCCAGCAAUGCCGCGCGAGUGAUGAAGGCCUUAGGGUUGUAAAGCUCUUUCGGGUGGGACGAUGAUGACGGUACCACCAGAAGAAGCCCCGGCUAACUUCGUGCCAGCCGCCGCGGUAA